GGGGAGCAUCUAGAUGCCGAGAUGUUGCCUGAUACAAUCUUCCUAUAGAAAAAAAAAACUGUUAUUUCCUGUUUGCAGUGCUUGAGAAAGGUCUGCAAAUCUCAAAUACACAGUAACAAAU
rfam:Cajanus cajan chromosome 11, whole genome shotgun sequence.